rnacentral:lncRNA from 1 species
GUACAUGAAUUAUAUUGGAAAAGCUAAUAUUAUAAUUUAGAACAAAAAGCAACUAGUGAUAACACCUAACACUAACUCUCGUUAUGGUCACGGUGGCUUGGUGCUUACUUGUCCACAAUACAUAUCAUCAAGUCCUGCUUUCAAGAAGUCUUGGUACAUGAAAGAUACAGGAACCUUGAAUCAAACGCAUCCUUUGCUAGUUUGCUUUGAAUAGAAGUAUUCUAAAAUACCUCUCUUUUAUUAUAUGCUUAGAUCUUAUUUUCACAAUUAAUAUACAAAAUAUUCUGAAGUUGUUUUUUUUUUUCUUUUAACUUCAUUUAUUUGAGAGUUCAUUAUUUAUUUCAAUCACAGAUUAACUAAUCACCCACAAAAUUAAUUAAUAUUCAUUUAC